GCUGAUUAAACAUUAAGAUCUUGCCAAAGGGCUUGGCUUGGUAACAGGAUGCUAUAAUAAAAACCGGAGUUGCAGCUAUCUCUGAUACCUGGCCCUCCAGUUCACGAUGGAGGGGUCUGCUCUCUGUCUGGUGGCUGCCCUCCUGGUCUGUUUCCCAACUUUUUCCCACGGCCAACUCUACUCCAUGGUUGUCCCCAGUGUCUUGUGGGUGGAGAGUGAAGAGCGGAUAGUGGUGGAGGCUCAUGGGCUCAAUGUUGCCACAGAGGUGACCAUCUCUGUCCAUGAUUUCCCACAGAAGAGGAACACCUUGUACCAGGUCAGAGCUACCAUGAACCCAGCGAAUGGCAUGAUGGUGACUCCGACAAUAAAGGUUCCUGCAAAAGUCCUAAAGAAGGAUUCCAAGAAAAACCUGUAUGUCUUUGUUCAUGCUACUUGUCCUCAAUUCACACUUGAGAAGGUGGUUUUAGUCUCCUUCCAAAGUGGUCAUAUCUUCACGCAGACGGACAAACCUAUCUACACACCUGGAUCUUCAGGUAAAGCUUUCUGCUAGUUCGACUUGAAAA
rnacentral:lncRNA from 11 species